GACGAACGCUGGCGGCGUGCUUAACACAUGCAAGUCGAACGGAAAGGCCCUGCUUGCUGGUUGCUCGAGUGGCGAACGGGUGAGUAACACGUGGGUGAUCUGCCCUGCACUUCGGGUUACGCCUGGGAAACUGGGUCUAAUACCGGAUAGGCGCCAGUUUUAGUGUGAUGGUUGGAAAGUUUUUUCGGUGUAGGAUGAGCUCGCGGCGUAUCAGCUUGUUGGUGGGGUAAUGGCCUACCAAGGCGGCGACGGGUAGCCGGCCUGAGAGGGUGGACGGCCACCCUGGGACUGAGAUACGGCCCAGAUGCCUACGGGAGGCAGCAGUGGGGAAGAUUGCACAAUGGGCGCAAGCCUGAUGCAGCGACGCCGCGUGGGGGAUGACGGCCUUCGGGUUGUAAACGCCUUUCGCUAGGGACGAAGCUUUUUGUGACGGUACCUAGAGAAGAAGCACCGGCUAACUACGUG
rnacentral:rRNA from 1 species